rnacentral:rRNA from 1 species
CCUACGGGUGGCUGCAGUAGGGAAUCUUCCACAAUGGGCGAAAGUCUGAUGGAGCAACGCCGCGUGAGUGAAGAAGGGUUUCGGCUCGUAAAGCACUGUUGGUGGUGAAGAAAGAUAGAGGUAGUAACUGGCCUUUAUUUGACGGUAAUUACUUAGAAAGUCACGGCUAACUACGUGCCAGCAGCCGCGGUAAUACGUAGGUGGCAAGCGUUGUCCGGAUUUAUUGGGCGUAAAGCGAGUGCAGGCGGUUCAAUAAGUCUGAUGUGAAAUCCUUCGGCUCAACCUGAGAAUUGCAUCCGAAACUGGCGAACUUGAGUGCAGAAGAGGAGAGUGGAACUCCAGGUGUAGCGGUGGAAUGCGUAGAGAUAUGGAAGAACACCAGUGGCGAAGGCGGCUCUCUGGUCUGCAACUGACGCUGAGGCUCGAAAGCAUGGGGAGCGAACAGGAUUAGAUACCCGUGUAGUC